UGACCAAGCCUGGCCACUCGGAGUCCUUACCCUGGGACUUCCUGGCUGAAAGCCUGCAGUAUCUUUGGUGCAAGUUGUUAACAAAGAUGUGAAAUUCAGGAGCUGCACGUGUGGUGGAUGCAGGGAGGGAUUUGGCUGCUGCAUUUCCUGCAGGGUGGAGGAAACCAGUCCGCCAUGAGAGAGUGAAGUGGGCACCUGGAGAGAAGAGCACACAGCCAGAAGACAGCUGUCUGCCAGCCAGGAAGCAGGCCCUCGCCAAGAACCGAAUCUGCUGGCACCUUGAUCUUGGACUUCCCAGUGUCUAGAACUGGAGGCAGGCAGAGCAGACACUGUGGCCUCCGCAUCGCAGUGGAGGACACUGAGGCACAGGGAGGUGGAGCUCCUGG
rnacentral:lncRNA from 1 species